rnacentral:tRNA from 2 species
GCAGUCGUGGCCGAGUGGUUAAGGCGAUGGACCAGAAAUCCAUUGGGGUUCGAAUCACAGGUUCGAAUCCUGUCGACUGCG